rnacentral:rRNA from 1 species
AUUGAACGCUGGCGGCAGGCCUAACACAUGCAAGUCGAGCGGAUGGGUGGAGCUUGCUCCAUGAUUCAGCGGCGGACGGGUGAGUAAUGCCUAGGAAUCUGCCUGGUAGUGGGGGACAACGUUUCGAAAGGAACGCUAAUACCGCAUACGUCCUACGGGAGAAAGUGGGGGAUCUUCGGACCUCACGCUAUCAGAUGAGCCUAGGUCGGAUUAGCUAGUUGGUGAGGUAAAGGCUCACCAAGGCGACGAUCCGUAACUGGUCUGAGAGGAUGAUCAGUCACACUUGGACCGAGACACGGUCCAGACUCCUAAGGGAGGCAGCAGUGGGGAAUUUUGGACAAUGGGCGGAAGCCUGAUCCAGCCAUGCCGCGUGUUUGAAGAAGGUCUUCGGGUUGUAAAGGCCCUUUAUGUGGGAAGAAAGGGCAGGAGUUAAUACCCUGGUUGUUUGACGGUACCCAACGAAUAAGCCCCGGCUAACUUCGUG